AGUGAACGCUGGCGGUAGGCCUAACACAUGCAAGUCGAACGGCAGCACAGUAAGAGCUUGCUCUUACGGGUGGCGAGUGGCGGACGGGUGAGGAAUACAUCGGAAUCUACUUUUUCGUGGGGGAUAACGUAGGGAAACUUACGCUAAUACCGCAUACGACCUACGGGUGAAAGCAGGGGAUCUUCGGACCUUGCGCGAUUGAAUGAGCCGAUGUCGGAUUAGCUAGUUGGCGGGGUAAAGGCCCACCAAGUCGACGAUCCGUAGCUGGUCUGAGAGGCUGAUCAGCCACACUGGAACUGAGACACGGUCCACACUCCUUCGGGAGGCAGCAGUGCGGAAUAUUGGCCAAUGGGCGCAAGCCUGAUCCAGCCAUACCGCGUGGGUGAAGAAGGCCUUCGGGUUGUAAAGCCCUUUUGUUGGGAAAGAAAAUCAGCAGUUUAAUACCCCGCUGUUCUGACGGUACCCAAUGAAUAAGCACCGGCUAACUUCGUG
rnacentral:rRNA from 1 species